UUCUUUUCCUACAACACAGAUCUGUGUCCAGCGGUCCUGGCGCGCCUUCGGGUGCUGUCGGUCGACUGCUGCGACAGUUCGACGUCACAUGGGAACUUCACUACAAUGGAGCACGCUCGGUCGACAGAUCUCAGAUCGAUCGCGGCCUCUUCCUUGAGCUCUUCGUGAGCUCGGUCGAUGGUCCUGGCGCUAUAUUCCAAAUCGUUCCUGAGCCCGUCGGGCGUUGAAGGUUGGGAAAAACCAUAGCUUGCCUACAUCU
rfam:Mycosphaerella graminicola IPO323 chromosome 1, whole genome shotgun sequence.